rnacentral:tRNA from 1 species
GGAAGUGGAUGCAGUCUGGUGGCUGUCCCGGCCUUCAAAGCCGUGCGGGAGGCUAUGAUGUCUCUGGUGGGUUCGAUUCCCACCCCUUCCGCCA